rnacentral:rRNA from 1 species
CCUACGGGAGGCAGCAGUGAGGAAUAUUGGUCAAUGGACGAGAGUCUGAACCAGCAAAGUAGCGUGAAGGAUGACUGCCCUCUGGGUUGUCAACUUCUUUUAUAAAGGAAUAAAACGAGGCACGUGUGCAUUUUUGCAUGUACUUUAUGAAUAAGGAUCGGCUAACUCCGUGCCAGCAGCCGCGGUAAUUCGGAGGAUCCGAGCGUUAUCAGGAUUUAUUGGGUUUAAAGGGAGCGUAGAUGGGUUGUUAAGUCAGUGGUGAAAGUUUGCGGCUCAACCGUAAAAUUGCAAUUGAUACUGGCAGUCUUGAGUACAGUUGAGGUAGGCGGAAUUCGGGGUGUAGCGGUGAAAUGCUUAGAUAUCACGAAGAACCCCGAGUGCGAAGGCAGCUUACGAAACUGUGACUGACAUUGAUGCUCGAAAGUGUGGGUAUCAAACAGGAUUAGAUACCCCUGUAGUC